GACGUAGGGCGCGAGCGUUGUCCGGAUUUAUUGGGCGUAAAGAGCUCGUAGGCGGCCUGUCGCGUCGACCGUGAAAACCCGCAGCUCAACUGCGGGCUUGCGGUCGAUACGGGCAGGCUGGAGUUCGGUAGGGGAGACUGGAAUUCCUGGUGUAGCGGUGAAAUGCGCAGAUAUCAGGAGGAACACCGGUGGCGAAGGCGGGUCUCUGGGCCGAUACUGACGCUGAGGAGCGAAAGCGUGGGGAGCGAACAGG
rnacentral:rRNA from 1 species